GAUGAAGAACGCAGCGAAAUGCGAUAAGUAAUGUGAAUUGCAGAAUUCAGUGAAUCAUCGAAUCUUUGAACGCACAUUGCGCCCGCCAGUAUUCUGGCGGGCAUGCCUGUCUGAGCGUCAUUUCAACCCUCAUGCCCCUAGGGCGUGGUGUUGGGGAUCGGCCAAAGCCCGCGAGGGACGGCCGGCCCCUAAAUCUAGUGGCGGACCCGUCGUGGCCUCCUCUGCGAAGUAGUGAUAUUCCGCAUCGGAGAGCGAUGAGCCCCUGCCGUUAAACCCCCAACUUUCCAAGGUUGACCUCAGAUCAGGUAGGAAUACCCGCUGAACUUAAGCAUGUCAAUAAGCGGAGGA
rnacentral:misc_RNA from 1 species